GGAUGUGAUGGUGAUCUGACUGUGACAUCUGUCACCCCACUGAUCACCAGGGUUGAUCCAGCUGAUCUGGCUGGCUAGGCGGGUGUUCCCUUCCUCCCUCACCACUCCAUGUGCAUCCCUCUCAAAGCUGCACGCUAGGUCAAAGAAGAUGACCUUCCCCAAUAGAGGAGGACCGUUCUUCGGUCAGGGGUAUACGGUAGCUGCACUCCCCUGUUAGAACCUCCAAACAAGCUCUCAAGAAUAAUUUAUAGAGAAGCAGGAAAGUACUUUAAAUGUUCACAGAACAUACUUCUUUCCUAUAUGUUUUUAU
rnacentral:snRNA from 1 species